GCACACCACAACUCGAGCAACCAAGUCCCAGCUCCAGAGCGCUCUUUCCCUUCGCUUUCUAAAACUUUUGAAGCUUUGCAUUAGUAGUUCUUAGUUAAAGAAAAUCUCAAAAAUAUUUUCAGUUUUAGUAGCUACCAAAUAAAAUUCUGCUGGUCGGAGGAAGGUUUAUCAAGAUAAAGAGUGGUGCAAAGAAGGUGAUGCACAUCAGGUUCAAGAGGUGGUAUGACAGCAGUUCGCAGAUGCCAACACACGUCUCGGACAGCAUGUCGGUAGACUCCAUCGCGCUGCCAGGCCAAGGAGCAACAUCAAGGAGAAUCCAGGUCCUAACCGAAGAAGGACAAAUUGUCCUGAGGACGGACCUGGAAAGGCAAGCUUUCACCAUAAUGAGGAACUCCUCACAAAAACCGGUAUGGACAAACGAGUUUGGGUCUGUCUUCCACAACGUUGGCUGGUUGGAAUUUUGGAGUAUUGCAGAGCCAGGUUCGAAACUUCUCACUCUUGAAUUUCUUAGCACACUUGAGGUUACAGACACCAGCAUAAAUUUUUGCAUGUUUAAUGAAGAGUUCUCCUCCACGUGGCGCACUCUUAGCAACGCACUGGGUUUUAAUAAAAGAUGCUCUCUAGAUUCUUAUGAAUGUUUCCCCAACUUCGAUACAAAUAAAUUUGGGAGAAAAUUUCUAGCCAAGAAAGUAGUAGAGCACUACAAACUAAUGACAUUCAUAACCACACCUUAAAGUUUAUGCACCGCUGGUUGGCCAUGACUUUGCACCCACAUGCUGAUUUGAGGCCUAUUAGAACUGAUGAGCUUUUGAUCAUGAACGCCAUGGUAAAGAAAAUUAAGUUUCCCCUGUAGAAUCCAUGGCGGAGCACUGGCGCUCCACUCCCACUCAAGUGGGCAGCAUUGAGAUGACUUCUUUAGUCACUAGAAUUGCGCAUGCUUUGGACAUUCUUGAUGGUGCCACAGUCACUUUUCUUGAAAAAAGAACGGCCUACAAUUAGCGGGGAACACUUUGUUCGGGGCCACAUGCUCCGCGUGGCGGCCGACGGUUCUUUGAUCAUGAUUUACAUUGGCUAUAUAACCGAAGUUGCGUUGCCAUGCACGAGACUUGGGUUAUAUGCCGUAUAAAGACUAACCCUUUCACUGGAAGAGGGGAGGCCUCCUCGUCCAGUAAGGAGAGAACCAGCUCGUCAUAGUGUUUCAGGUGCAGGACCAACCACAAGGAGAGAACCAGCUCAUCAUAGUGUUUCAGGCGUAGGACCAACCAUGAGGGCUAGGACCAGAUGGAUGGAGGAAACCGUAGGGCCAUCUCAUCCUAAACCUCCACCACCAGAAACGUCCGCGAGCUGCAUCCCAAGAAGCAUACUCCAAAGGAUGGCCCACUGGGUUAUAUGGCUCAAGGUACGCCGAAGGGGCAUAUCAUGGAGAACCUUCAGACCAGCAAUUCGGUCCUGAACCGAGGAGGACACAGUCGGCACACUUCCCACAAAACUACUACGAGAUUAUUUCACAUGUGGUGGAGACGGUGGAUGACACCAACACAAGAGUUCAGCAGAUUCAGACGACCCUCGACAAAAACACCAAGUUGAUGACCAACUUCUUCGGCAGUUGGAACCCGUACACAUAGUCGACCAAGUUUGGGGGGAGAGGCCUCCGCCAAGGUAAGUACCACAAAUAACAAUCCCGAUGCAGCUCGUUAUUUGUAUAAUUACUUAGUUAAUUUAUCUUCUAUAUAAAAAACAAUUAAAAAUUUGAAAAUUUUGAAAAUUCAAAAAAAAUAUUUGAUUUGAAAAAUAACUCCCAACUAGGACAUGAAUCUUGUUUAUGCUCCUUUCUUUUGGAAACGAUGAAUAGGUGCUCUAUUAAUUUUCUGCAAGUACCUUGUUUACAACAUGAUACUCUACAAGUAUUUGAAUUACUGUAAGUGAAAUAUGAACCUGAAACUUUGUGGGAGCACAUGUUAAUACAAACCUAAGGUGUUCGAGGCAUGAUUUGGCUACAUUUUGGUAGAGUUGCCUUAUUGCUCUAGUAAGGUGAAAAUCUCGGAUGAUUUAUUUCAAAAUUAAAAAGACAUGUUGCUCAAUGGUUAUGAAAUACCUACCAAGGCCAAAUACUUUACAUGAUAAACCACCAUAGAACCACUUAGUUUGGUAAAUGAGCCAAGUCAAAUGUUGAGUCCUUAAGAGGUAUCCCUUCAUGAUCCCCGAUCAUUCGUGUUCACCAUUCCACAUCAUCUACGCCAUCAAAUAAAUUUCCAUGGUCUUCAUCCUACACUCCAUAAAAAUUCCAUCAAAAAUUCCCAGCAAGAAAGGACAUGGACCAUUAGUAUUCAAAAAAAUUAUUGAAAAAAGAGAAAAAAAAGUAAAGGAAAAAAGAAAAGAAAGAGAUGGUCCAUGAUCCAAGAAGGGAAACAAAAUAUCCACGAAAAAUAAGGAGUCCAAAAGACCAUUGUUCCAUGUGUGAGUCCACCAUCCCGUGAUCACUUUCAUCUUGAUCCGAGUUUGAGUCGGCAUACACCUCUAAAGAACCAAUAUUUGGCUUAGCAAUAUUUUGCAAACUAAGUGAGUCUCAUACUACCUACCCAAGCUCCAGAUAAGCCUUAUAGCUGUAGGAUGUUGAGGCUAAAAAAACCUUUGGAGAGGUUUAUACACCACUUGAGCGUUUGAAAGUACCAUAUGAGGAACGUUGUUUUCAAAAAAUUAUCAAAAAACUCCAAGAUAGGCUCCAAAACAAGUAGUGAGUGGGAUGACACUAAGAUAAACUGUUGUAGCCCCCAACCGCCCAAGGCAAGGUGAAACUAUACGCCCCGUGUGUAUUAAGGUAUGAAAUUCACAAAAGCCCGGAAGUUCAAAUGAAAAAGAGUGUUGGGUUGUACACAGGUACCUGCAGAAUGACAACAUUGACACAAUUCCUGAUCCACCAAGCCUAAGUCUUAAGCUUUGCUCAGGGAUGAGCAAAGGUUUAAGUUUGGGGGAUUUGUUGCGGUCGUUAUUGUGGUAGAACCGCCCGAAUUAAUCAGGCAUAAGUGCGCUAACCAUCACCAUGGAGGCAAUCUGGGCUAACACGCACUUAAAACGGAGUAAAACAAUAGUCUGUCAGCUAACAUCCCGAUGCAAAUCGAAACAAUGCAUACAUACAACCCACACGAAGGUGAGCCCAGAGAUUAUAGCAAUCCAUAAAUUUUACAUCACAGAGUUCAACACGAAUUAUUAAAUACAAACCAAGUUUGAGUUCAUUCAUUAAACAAGAACUUUCAGAGUUUAAUAGUGCAGCAAAGAAUAAAUGAUAGUUCUAACAACGAUACAAGAUGUCAUGAUAAAGCCCGUAUAUGACAUCAUUUAGUGUUAUCAUUGUUGGCAGGGAGCGCAUCCCAUUCCACCGACCAACCAGAAGGAAUAGUACACGGCCAAGUCAAACUAGCAACCAUGUCCUCAAAGGUCUCACAUGAAAAUAAAGCCACAAGCAAGGCUGAGUAUACUAAUACUCAGCAAGGCUUACCCGACUAGUGGUAUAUACUUAGCCGACUCCUGGACAUGCAAGGCUUUCGGCUGAGGGUUGUUUCUGCCAAAAAGAAUCUAAGAGUGAGUCCUUGCUUUCAAAUUUUAGCAUCAAGUUCUAGUUGAUUAACCAUUCUAGGUAAGCAACUAUCCAAAUCAUGCAUGGUGGAAAAUAAUUAACUGAGCAUCCAACCAUAUUAAUCAUCAUCAUUGUUUCUUUUCUUACUCUACGCGGUAAAAGGGUUAAGCAGUCUCCAUAGCCGCGAGAAAUGGACGAUUCGAAUCAAAUUUCUUAACCUUGCAAGGGAAACCUAAACCCACGUCAUAUGGUUACUCACAGAGUCACACGUGCAAAUUUUUCCCUUUAUUCCCGUUUCAUGGAAUAGGGCCACCAUCCUCGUUUAUUCCUAUUUCAUGGAAUAGGGCCACCGUCCUUGAGUACAAAGGUCCACGAACCACGGAACGGCUCCGAGCCAUGGCUGCUCUUGCACUCACCAUGUGCCCAUGGGAACGGCGUCAAGACGGUGGGAGGUAUAUCCAUGCCCCGGUUCAAUUAGGUACUUAAUCUUUCCGAUUACCAUAUUCUCGGCAUGUGGUUAGUACGUUCAAAAACAUAAUCACCACUACCACACACCACGACCUUAGCAUUUUCGCUAAAUAGACGGGGCCUCGAUCAUCAACUGGAAUAUCAUAAUAUAGCCCCAUCCGUCGACCUUAUGAUUCCAACAUAAGUAAAACAAGCAACUCCUGUAUCUAGCGAGUGACAGGAAAUCACUCGACUUUUACCGGAGUCCUAUUAGCAUGGCAAUCUAGCGACCACCACAGACUAGUGUUCAUAUCAUAGGUACUAGGAUCAUGCAACUGGGGUUUCAAUCAACUCCUACAAACUUAAUGCACAAUACCAUAUAUAAAUAAAAAUUGCAUAAGUUUAGAAAUAGGGGUUAUGCUCCGGGGCUGCCUUCCUGAGCAAAGCUAGCCUUGGGCUCUUCCGAACUUUGGUUUGGGUCUUUGAUGACUUCAGUUAGAUUGAUCCAAGCUUCGUGCUGCUCACUCUCGGGCUCCGGCACCAGCUCAUAGGUUCCGCCGGCGAGAAUCGUCGAUUCUAUAUGAAUGCAUAUGUAUAAGUUAUUUUAGUGGUACAAGAUAAAUAACUAUUUCACUGUAAAGUUGUAAUUCAACAAAAAUCAAGUUAAGUUGUAAAGCACUUCAUUUUCUUU